rnacentral:rRNA from 1 species
UACGUAGGGUGCGAGCGUUAAUCGGAAUUACUGGGCGUAAAGCGUGCGCAGGCGGUUUUGUAAGACAGGCGUGAAAUACCCGGGCUCAACCUGGGAAUGGCGCUUGUGACUGCAAAGCUGGAGUGCGGCUGAGGGGGAUGGAAAUUCGCGUGUUGCAGUGAAAUGCGUAGAUAUGCGGAGGAACACCGAUGGCGAAGGCAAUUCCCUGAGCCUGCACUGGCGCUCAUGCACGAAAGCGUGGGGAGCAAACAGG